rnacentral:rRNA from 1 species
CAAAAUAGGUAUAUCGAGGGAACCGCCUGAACUGAAACAUCUAAGUAGGGCGAGGAAAAGACAUCAAACGAGAUUCCGUAAGUAGUGGCGAGCGAACGCGGAUGAGGGCAAACCGGAAGUAGAAAUAUUUCCGGGGUAUGGACUGCUUUUAGGACUCAAUCUGUUAACCGAACGGCAUGGGAAGGCCGGUCAGAGAGUGUGAGAACCACGUAGGUGAAAACGGAGAGAGCUGCGCAGGAUCCAGAGUACGGCCAGACACGUGAAACCUGGUCGGAAUACGGGGGGACCACCCUCCAACCCUAAAUACUACCCAGUGACCGAUAGCGUAUAGUACUGUGAAGGAAAGGUGAAAAGCACCCCGGGAGG